AACAACAACAACAACAACACUCUUCAUAAACGGUGUCUGUCUCCACUUAGCACUUUGCACACGCCAUUGAUGUUUACCUUCUCACGCCUUGGCCUCCCUGUUGGCCAUGGCCAUGAUGGCAGCCCUGGCCGUUUAUAAUAUCGUAGUCAUCUCCAGCACCACAUCUGACACCUUGCAGGUGCUUGGUGAGCAUUUGUAGAGCAGUGUGCAGAUCUUCAGAGGGAGAGCUUGCUUCCAUUCUGCAACCUCCCUGAGGAGUGGGACUUACGAUCUCCCAGAAAACUGAGGCUCAGAGAAGAUCAUUCAGAGCAUAUGGCUUAUAAGUGGUGGGACUGUGAUUCACACUCUGUAUUAGGAAAGCCCUUGCCCUGAAUCUCUAUGCAGCGCUCACCCCAUCGACUCCACCCUAGUGUUCCCCAUCAGCAAUCCUACAGGUUGCUAGGACUCCUACGAAUACCCUGUGAAUACCCUAAGUUAUUCAGGAUGACUUAGCCCUCCCGUCAAUGAAUGGAUCCCAAAUAUCCCAAAGAUCAGGUUUCCUAGCCAAAUGGACAAGUCCUCCUGAGAGCUGGCCCCUGGCUUCGCCUCUGGUUCCAUCUCCAGCCACAUGGUGUCCUGCAUUAAUCAUACCGAAAUACCCAUAGUUGUGUGCCUAUGUCAUCCCCCUUUGAUGGGUUUCUCUUUCUGGAAUAAUACUUCGCCAGCUCUACUGGGCUGGGUAAAUAUAAAUAUAUUAUAAAUUAUAAAUAUAAUUAUAAUUAUAACUAAGAUGCUCUUGACUACAGACAGCACAAAACCCACCCCUAAAUGGUAUAAGCAAUGAGAGGACUUAGCAUCUCACGUGGUAAGAGAUCCUGUGGGAGGGGAGGCUGCUGGUGCAGAGUGUCAGGUCCCUGUCCCUCUCUCCGCUCUGCCCCUCUUUGCAUUGACUUCAGCCUCAGGCUGGUGACAAGAUGGCUGGGGUGGUUCCAGGGCUCACAUCCAGACACAUCAACAUCGUGCACAAGGAAACAUGGAUGGCUUCUUCCUGUGUCUGCCUUCCCGGGCACCCCCGCACAUCCCCUGCAUGGCUCCUGGCCAGGCCUGAUCGCAGACCUUCCCUGAGUCAAGGAGAACAGCAUUAAAGCCCAUCAGGAUAUACCCCUGGAGCUGGGGAUUGAGUGGAUCAUGCUGGGGAGAGGAGGGCACCCAAAAGAGUGGACUCUGUCUGCAAGGAAGGUCUCAGGAUUGAAGUGGCUCUAAAAGGUAUCCAGCCUAACCUUUCUAGGGAAGCCUCCUCCAGCUGGCAUUUUAGCCUCCUCACACGGCCAGUUCUUUCUUCACCAGCCCCUCCCCCACUGCCAAUGUCCUUGGCCUGGCCCUUUGCUCUUUGGCACAGUGCCCCUCUUUUGUGGCCCCACCUGGCCACAUCCUGUUGUGCUUCCCACAUGCCUUGUUAGCUCGCUGGACUCUAUGUGCCGCCUACCCACAACCCUGUGCCUUCUUCCUGGUCAGUGCACGCUUCUCAUGGAGGGGGCUCAGCCAGAUUAACCCUGCCCACCCGUGUCGCUGUCCUCCCACAACCCUCUAGACUUGGGGAUCCUCUCCAUGGAUUUACCUGCUGAUGAUUUGCUUGAAAACCUUCUCAGUUUCAAAGUCAUUUCUCAUGCAUUUCACAGGCAUGUUUUUUGUUCCUUGAUAAGAAUGAUGUCUUCUAAUUCUUUGGCAAUACCGGAAACAAUGAACCUCAUGCAUGCACACACACACACACACACACACACACGCCCUCUUCCUACUUGAAAGCCACACUGGGAAGGGAGGCAGCCAAUCAGUGCCGCUAACUAAGUAGCCAGCGUGCCCUCAGCCUGGCGUCUCGCCCUUGCCCUCGCCCCUCUGUUUGCAGAGAUGGCAGCUGCCUCUGUAUGUCUGGAAGGUUGCAAAAGGCGCAGCUCCAGCAGCUAGGGCCAGAAAGCCCUAGGACCAAUUUGCUUUUUUGGGCUAGAGUGUUAGUCUCAGGGAAUAACUGAAGCUCUAUGGUGAACAAGCUGCCUGAGCUAGGGGGUGAUCGCGGGAAACCGGAACCCGUGGAGCACCUGCGAUGUGCUCUGUACCUGUUCUUCUUUCAGCCAGCGCUGCUUCUCUGCCAGUCUGUCUCUGCGUCCAUCUGUCUGGAGGGUUCCACAUACUCUGCUAAGCUCAAAUAACAUCCGGUGGUCAAGUCCCCAGGAAAAGUUUCUUCUCUUUUUUUUCUGUUGUUGUUAUACUUUGUUGCAAACCCUUUUGCUUGGCCUCAGCUCAGCCCAUAAGAGAGUGCAUUGCCCACCUGCUUGCCUCUCUACUGGGGGAUGAACUCCUGAAGGCCAGGAAUCAUAAUUUUUCUAGAUCUUCGGGUCCUCUGAGGACAGAUCCAUGCCUGCCAGGUAAUAAUAAAUAAAUUCUUGUGGAAUUAAAUUAAAUUAAUUGUUGCUGAGGGCAAUAGAAAUCAAAAUUCAGAAGGAGUGAAUGAACCCAGAACUUAAAUACAGAGACUCUUAAAUAUGUAUUUCUCCCCUUUAUUAUGGUGCAUGGAAAGAGAAUGGAGAAAAAGGGAAGGAAAUAGAAGAAGUGAAGAUUGACCAGGGCUCUCCCUCUCUCGAUGAGCUUCUUUUAUUUUUUAAAAAAUGUUUAUCUAUUUAUUUUGAGAGAAAGUGUAUGUGCGUGGUGAAGGGGCAGAAAGAGAAGGAGAAAAUCCCAAGCAGGCUCUGUGCUGUCAGCAUGGAGCCCGGUGUGGGGUUCCAUCCAUCAUAUGAACCGCAAGAUCAUGACCUGACCCACAUCAAGACUCGAGGCUUAACCGACUGAGCCACGCAGGCGCCCCUCCCUCUCUAAAUGAGCUUCUUAAGAGCAAGAACUAUUCUAUAUCCUGUGGCCCUUCUCAGUGCCUAGAAUAUGGGAAAUGAUCCAUAAAUACUUGUUGAGUAAAUACAUGGGAUAUGGGUCAGGUUGUGCUUUGGGGCUGGAUUCUGAGCACUGAUUGAGGUAGGGCAUGAGGACCUUGGAAUCUAAGAUGGGAUAGGGCAGCCCUUAUGAGGGAUAAUCAGUUUGGCCUCUGUCGCCAAGACCUGUGGUUGAUCAACUGGCUUCUCUGUCUUCAGCCUCCCCCAACCCCUACUCCCUACCCUCAGCUCCAGCACCUGCAAGGUCACAUUUCAGACUCUAAACUGAGGCCUUUGAGACCAAACCUGUCCCUCAUGUAUGCCAGACCCCCUGGAAAAAGGGUAAGUGGAGGCCCAGGGGCCAUAUGUCCAAACAUAAUCAAGUUAUAAACCAAGUGAAGCACCUGUUCAAUAAAAUAUAUGCUAGCCUCCCAUUUUGACAAAUAUAUCUUCAAAACAACAACAAAAAAGGUGUAUAAAGCUAUAGCUUUUAUAUGAUGGAAAUUUAUCCAAAUUUCAAAGAUGACUGGCUUAAAUUAUAAUUAAAAUCUAGGCAUUCUGUUGAUGAACCAGUGAUAACAGGGCGAAUUAUAAAACAAAAGCACAUCUAAUUCAUAAAUGACUAUGCAUUUACACUAUAAUUUUAGUGUUUAUGUUUUUGUUUCAGGAAAAUCACUAGUUGUGUUAUUAUACAACCAAGAUAUUCACAUCAUGUGUUCUAUUGAUGGUAAUGAUCUGGAUUAAAAAAACAAAAUAAUUAACAAUAAUAUCUUUAAAAAAGGGAUCAUAUUCAAAGGAUUCAAAGUCUUAGCAUAUUUUAUCAUAAAGUGUAGCUCAAACUAAAUGGAAACUAUUUGAACAUAAAAUUUUCAUUUUCAGAAAAGUAUUUCAGAAAAGUAAUAUUUCUUUUACUAUGAUAAAAUUAAGGGUAAAAUACAUAUUUAAUGAAUAUAAAAAUGGUUCAUCAAAGUUAUUUCAAUCAAGCUAAAUAAAACUAUUCCUACAAUUGUAGUAUGUAAUAGCCACGCAUUACCAGUGUAAAAAACCAGUAUUAUCCCUUAUGCACAUUGUGUCUAGACCACUGGUUCUCACCUGGGGUGGUUUUGUCCCCCAGAAGCGUUUGGAGAUGUCUGGAGACAUCUGUGGUUGAUACAGCUUGCUAUGGUAUCCAGCCAGGAGGGGCCUGGGAUGCUGCUAAAUAUUCUACAAUGCACACAAAAAAGACUUCACCACUCUAAGAUGUCAGUAGUGCUGAGGUUGAGAAACCCUGGUAACGCACACACACACACACACACACACACACAGAAGAGACUCAUGAACUGUUGGAUACUGCCAAAUGUUCUUUCACUGCUAUGUGCAGUUGUUGUGGAUACUACGCUAAUUAUGGGUAACUCCAGAAUCACGAAUUGGAACAUGAAGAGAAGCAAGAAAAUGGACAGGCGACGCAGACUGCAUUCUGCAAGAAUCUGUGGCCCUCUUGCUAGAACAGCAUGCUGUUUAGCUGCCAAAAUAUUAGGACUGAAAGCAGCUGGCAAAAAUGUUCAUGGAGGAAGUGAGCCUGCUCGGAGAGGCCAAAGGAAAAUUCUCCUCGACUGUGACCCCAGAAGGACCCCCGGGCCUCAGGACCUCUUUUGGAAGCUUCUGCUCAGUCAGCUUGGGGCUCCCUCAGACCCCAGGGCCCCGGGGGCUCCUUUGAAGAGCAUAGGAGAAUGCCCUGACAUGAUCCUUUUAAAAACCUUUGCAGGUCAGUAUCGAUUUAUUGGUUUAAUUUGUACUUUCUUGAUGACUUGUGAAGUCCAACUUCUUUUCAUUUAUUUACUUCAUUUGCAUUUCUUUGGAAUGCCUCUUUACAGGGGAGUUUGGCUUGAGGAAAAGCUUCUCAGUGGAAAUACUGUUGAAGCUGCCGAGAGUUAUCUGGGCUGAUCCCUUUCCAUGAUGCUUCUCUGGACGACAGGGACCCUCAGCUCCAGGAAGCUAGCGUGCAGCCGUGACCCAGCCAGCUAUCAUUGCUCUGUCCUGGUUCUCGGGGAAGGCCCCUCCAGCCCCUUCCUGCCCCUAGAUGGCACCUCCACAAAGAGCGAAUUUCCUCCCAUCCGUGACCUGGCAAACAGGAGCCAUCACAGGAGUGAAGAUACAUCAACGGAGGGCGGCAGGCACUUGUUUCAUCUCCCUGUUGGUGUAGUGCCUGAGACUUGACUUGUUUUAAAAUUAAAUAUUUUAAAAC